GGAGGGGUUCCCGAGCGGUCAAAGGGAGCAGACUGUAAAUCUGCCGGCGAACGCCUUCGGAGGUUCGAAUCCUCCCCCCUCCACCA
rnacentral:tRNA from 1 species